UACGUAGGGUGCGAGCGUUGUCCGGAUUUAUUGGGCGUAAAGAGCUCGUAGGCGGUUUGUCGCGUCGGCCGUGAAAUCUCCACGCUUAACGUGGAGCGUGCGGUCGAUACGGGGCAGACUUGAGUUCGGUAGGGGAGACUGGAAUUCCUGGUGUAGCGGUGAAAUGCGCAGAUAGUCAGGAGGAACACCCGGUGGCGAAGGCGGGACUCUGGGCCGAUACUGACGCUGAGGAGCGAAAGCGUGGGGAGCGAACAGG
rnacentral:rRNA from 1 species